AACGAACGCUGGCGGCAGGCCUAACACAUGCAAGUCGAACGCUCCGCAAGGGGAGCGGCGCACGGGUGAGUAACACGUGGGAACCUACCUUCUGGUACGGAACAACCAAGGGAAACUCUGGCUGAUACCGUAUACGACCUCCGGGUGAAAGAUUGAUCGCCGGAAGAGGGGCCCGCGUCCGAUUAGGUAGUUGGUGAGGUAACGGCUCACCAAGCCUGCGAUCGGUAGCUGGUCUGAGAGGANGACCAGCCACACUGGGACUGAGACACGGCCCAGACUCCUACGGGAAGCAGCAGUGGGGAAUAUUGGACAAUGGGCGCAAGCCUGAUCCAGCCAUGCCGCGUGAGUGAUGAAGGCCUUCGGUUGUUAAGUAC
rnacentral:rRNA from 1 species